rnacentral:rRNA from 1 species
UGGAUCCAGACUUUGAUCAUGGCUCAGGAUGAACGCUAGCUACAGGCUUAACACAUGCAAGUCGAGGGGAAACGGCAUCGAAAGCUUGCUUUUGAUGGGCGUCGACCGGCGCACGGGUGAGUAACGCGUAUCCAACCUGCCCACCACUUGGGGAUAACCUUGCGAAAGUAAGACUAAUACCCAAUGACGUCUCUAGAAGACAUCUGAAAGAGAUUAAAGAUUUAUCGGUGAUGGAUGGGGAUGCGUCUGAUUAGCUUGUUGGCGGGGUAACGGCCCACCAAGGCGACGAUCAGUAGGGGUUCUGAGAGGAAGGUCCCCCACAUUGGAACUGAGACACGGUCCAAACUCCUACGGGAGGCAGCAGUGAGGAAUAUUGGUCAAUGGGCGAGAGCCUGAACCAGCCAAGUAGCGUGCAGGAUGACGGCCCUAUGGGUUGUAAACUGCUUUUAUAAGGGAAUAAAGUGAGUCUCGUGAGACUUUUUGCAUGUACCUUAUGAAUAAGGACCGGCUAAUUCCGUGCCAGCAGCCGCGGUAAUACGGAAGGUCCGGGCGUUAUCCGGAUUUAUUGGGUUUAAAGGGAGCGUAGGCCGGAGAUUAAGCGUGUUGUGAAAUGUAGACGCUCAACGUCUGCACUGCAGCGCGAACUGGUUUCCUUGAGUACGCACAAAGUGGGCGGAAUUCGUGGUGUAGCGGUGAAAUGCUUAGAUAUCACGAAGAACUCCGAUUGCGAAGGCAGCUCACUGGAGCGCAACUGACGCUGAA